UCAGCGGCGGACGGGUGAGUAACACGUGGGCAACCUGCCCAACAGACUGGGAUAACUCCGGGAAACCGGAGCUAAUACCGGAUAUCCUCUUUUCACCACCUGGUGAAAAGAGAAAAGGCGGUUUCGGCCGCCACUGUUGGAUGGGCCCGCGGCGCAUUAGCUAGUUGGUGAGGUAAGGGCUCACCAAGGCGACGAUGCGUAGCCGACCUGAGAGGGUGAUCGGCCACACUGGAACUGAGACACGGUCCAGACUCCUACGGGAGGCAGCAGUAGGGAAUCAUCCGCAAUGGGCGAAAGCCUGACGGUGCAAUGCCGCGUGAGUGAUGAAGGUUUUCGGAUCGUAAAGCUCUGUUGUGAGGGAAGAACAAGUUCGGGAGGAAAUGCCCGAGCCGUGACGGUACCUCACCAGAAAGCCACGGCUAACUACGUGCCAGCAGCCGCGGUAAUACGUAGGUGGCAAGCGUUGUCCGGAAUUAUUGGGCGUAAAGGGCACGCAGGCGGUUCUUUAAGUCUGAUGUGAAAGGCUGUGGCUCAACCACAGAAUUGCAUUGGAAACUGGAGAACUUGAGUGCAGAAGAGGAGAGUGGAAUUCCACGUGUAGCGGUGAAAUGCGUAGAUAUGUGGAGGAACACCAG
rnacentral:rRNA from 1 species